rnacentral:rRNA from 1 species
GACGAACGCUGGCGGCGUGCCUAACACAUGCAAGUCGAACGGAGAUUUCAGCAAUGGAAUCUUAGUGGCGAACGGGUGAGUAACGCGUAGACAACCUGCCUUCUAGGUGGGGACAACACCGCGAAAGUGGUGCUAAUACCGAAUGUUGUAUCUAGGGUGCAUGCCUUGGAUACUAAAGGUGGCCUCUGAAUAUGCUAUCGCUAGAAGAUGGGUCUGCGUCUGAUUAGCUAGUUGGUGAGGUAACGGCUCACCAAGGCGACGAUCAGUAGCCGGUCUGAGAGGAUGAACGGCCACACUGGGACUGAGACACGGCCCAGACUCCUACGGGAGGCAGCAGUGGGGAAUCUUCCGCAAUGGACGAAAGUCUGACGGAGCAACGCCGCGUGAGUGAUGAAGGUUUUCGGAUCGUAAAACUCUGUUUUCAGGGACGAAUGUGCGUAGUGUGAAUAAUGCUAUGUAAUGACGGUACCUGAGUAGAAAGCCACGGCUAACUACGUGCCAGCCGCCGCCGUAA